rnacentral:lncRNA from 1 species
AAAAGUAGGUGAAGGGAGUGAGUAAUCCAGGGGUGUGUCAAUACAAACUGCUCUUUGAGGACAUGGAGGAGUAGACGUCUGUGGUCUGUAAGAUAAGAAGAAGAAAUGAAGUAAAUAAAACAGCUAUUUGUGCAAAUAUAGUUGGUGGAAGUGCAAGCGAGAAGGGGCAUGGAGAAGUCCUCCAGAUGAGGGACAGUUUCCUUGGUGGACAGAGUAGUAUUGUUGUCUGAUAUGUAGUUUCAUUUUCCUUGUAACAGGAAUAAUUCAGGGAGGUGCAAGGUGCAGCAGGCACUGUUUCACUUUCCAAAGUUGGGACACUGAUCAGGAACGGUUAGAAGAUGCAGUGUGGUACUUUCCCCAAUACAAAGAGGGAUGGAAGGUCAAUACUGAUGUCAUGCAGAAUAGUGUGAUGCAACAAUCGUGGGGUGAAUGCUGAAUUCACCUGCUCAGGAAGCAGGAACAGCGUAAGCAGUGACAGACUUUGAUGAGACCUAGCUCUAUGCCUUGCGUGUUUGCUGUGCUCCCUCAUGGAACUGGCGUGGGCAUUUCUGCAUGAAGAUACACUGUAUAGACGUGGUGUGUGCUCAAAGCUCAGAGGAAGCUAUAUCCAGAAUUCUUUGGACAGGAAACACUGGACUCAGGGAUUGCUGUUUGACUUGGAAAGAUCUCUCUAGAUCUGCUUGGCUGCCGCUGCCUAUUCUCUCCUGACCUAAUUAAAUUAAAUUGUUAGACUAUGUGCUUUGCAAAAUAGGAAAUUUUUACAGCUCUACUUUUCUUGGGUAAAUUACAUAUGUUUUUUAGAAGUGGAGUCCCAGUUCACCUCACAUUGACAGUACUGCUAGAAAGCUGGCUAGCAGCGGUAGAAAGCAGGGAAAAUUUGCCAUUCCCAUGUCCAGGAUUUCUAGAGUUAAUCUGAAGCCCAAGUGACUGGUUUGUUUUCUCCCAGUGGAAAGAGCAUGCAUUCUGUUUCUAAACACAAGUAAACUAAAACAUUGUUUAUUCUCUUUUCUUUGUACAACUGCAGUGAUUGAUACAAAACACCUCUUUCUUCAUCUUGCUCACCCACACAUCGGCGUGGCAGCUCUAAGCAUAGGCUUUCCACAGAUUGCUUCUCUCUUUGCCAUAUGUGAAGUUGGAAUCCCUUCUUCACCUGUUAUGUUUAGCACUGAUUUUAUGUCUUUUAAACUUGGAAAUCUUUCUGUAAAGGUCUUUUCAAAAUAGCUUUUCUUGUUAAGGCAGCUGUUUGCCC